rnacentral:ncRNA from 2 species
UACGUAGGGUGCGAGCGUUAAUCGGAAUUACUGGGCGUAAAGUGUGCGCAGGUGGCUUCGCAAGUCGAGUGUGAAAGCCCCGGGCUUAACCUGGGAAUUGCGCUCGAAACUACGGAGCUGGAGUAUGGCAGAGGGAGGUGGAAUUCCACGUGUAGCGGUGAAAUGCGUAGAGAUGUGGAGGAACACCAAUGGCGAAGGCAGCCUCCUGGGCCAAUACUGACACUCAUGCACGAAAGCGUGGGGAGCAAACAGG